GUCUGUGGUCCAACUGGCUUCAGAUGGUGUGUGUUAUGUGCGUGUGCCUGCCUCCUGAGUGAGUGAGACGAGCUGGAAUCACGAGCCAGGGUUGUUCCAAGUGGUUUUAAUCAGCAGCCCAUUAGAGGAGAAGGGAAAACUUCAAACAGGGUAAGAACCAAGUUGUUCCAGUAACUCCAUGGGAAGGUGUUCCCCAAACCUCUGCUCCUUUGGAACUUGUGACUUCUUGCCUGGUACCAGGAAAACACUCAGCAGCAGAAAUGGGAAAAUUCAUUGUAGUUUUGGGUAAAGUGUGCCUCUGACAUUUUUUACCCUGACGUGGCUACUUGGACUGCAUCUGCAAUGUGGCAAAGGGCAAUGUGAGGUCGGCAAAGAGGCCAUGGUGUGUGGGCAAGUCCCCAGAUGCCGCAGGCUUUGUCGCCCUCGUCCCUUCCUUCUGGCCCUGGUGGUGGCCCUCUGUCUGUUCUGCCAGACCCUGACUCCUCUCAUGACCAGCAGCAUCCUUUCAGCAGUUGUUAAUGGGAUUGCACCCAACAAACUGACUAAAACACAGCAAGGAAGAUACAAGGAGGUCUCCCCAAGCACCAUUCACUGCUUCCUCCCUGGCAGCUAUUCAGAGACAGUGAAAAAGGCAUAGACAAUGCAUCAAUAUUUAUGGAAUUAUGUAAUAUUCCUGGAAUCUGAAAGAGCUGCCAAAGAACUGUUUUUCUCUCUUCAACUUGAAAUAUCUUCACUAUUUUCUUCUUGGCCAAAACAAAAACAGUAAUUAUACAUCAUAAGAUUCAGUGAUUGACUGAAUUCUAGAUUUUUGGAACAACCCAGAAAUUCUGUACAAUAUAGGAAAGCUUCAGAGACUAGUAGAAUCAAUUAUAUCUUUAUACAUUCAUAACCUAGAAUUGGAUAUACCGGUUUCAAGGGAAAUGUCAAAACAUUUUCUUUUUAAUAGAGAACUUCACAGCUCCCUGGAAGUUGCAGACAGACUGAAAUAAGAAUUGCAACUCUGAAAAUGGAUGUCUAUUUUCAGUUGCAAAAGGAUGGUUAUAUAAUUCUUCAGUUUUUAUAUUAUAUAAACUGGGCCUUUUAUCUUGUUUGUUAAGACAUCAAAGAAGUAUACAUAUGAUACAAUUUUUUAAAAAUCUUUAAUAAAUUU
rnacentral:lncRNA from 1 species